CUUGAUGAGGGUUCAUUUAGAAGAAACCAUUUCAUCGAUGGUUUAACGAUUACUGUCAACAUGACAGUGGAAACAUCAUUUCUGUGUCUGACUCUGACUUCACUGCUGUUCUGCUCAACACACCAAGUUCAUCUGACUCUGAGUCCCAGCAGAUCUCAGUUCUUCCWAGGAGAAUCAGUGACUCUGACCUGUGAGGAUGGAAACAUCUCUGAUGGAUGGACUGUGAGGAGAAACAGAACAAAAGACACCAGGACUGAGUGUGGAGAUGGAUGGGGGA